CCCCAUAGAUUUAUCCUCCAACCCAGCAUCAUCAGCAUAUUCCUACUGUCUAUUUUGCGGAUGCCAAAUCUUGUCACCAACCCAUAUUUUCCCGCCACCUCUCCUUAUAAUCUUGGAGCCACCGCUAACCCUGUGUAGUUGCAUCAAGAAAAUAGCUAGAAAAUCACAAGCCCAGAUGAAUUACUUCACACCAUGGAUACCUGUAACCAUCUUCUGCAUAAUUAUUAUUCAGAUAAAGCUUGUUACGAGUCAGAUUCCAACAACUCUUAAAGGCCCAUUUAAGCCAGUAACACGUAAAUUUGAUUCGUCAUUGCGGAGAGGCAGUGACGAUUUGGCAAUGGACCAUCCGCUUCUUAAGAAGAAUGUGACUGGAAACUUUCCGGAGCAGAUAUCAUUGGCUAUCUCUUCACCAACUUCGAUGUGGGUUUCUUGGGUCACUGGGGACGCACAGAUCGGUUCUAAUGUUACUGCUCUUGAUCCUGCUUCUGUGGCCAGUGAAGUUUGGUAUGGGAAGGAAAGUGGAAAGUAUACAAGUAAACAGAAGGGGAAUUCAACUGUUUAUAGUCAAUUAUACCCAUUUGAGGGACUUCUGAAUUAUACUUCUGGCAUCAUUCAUCAUGUCAGAAUUGAUGGUCUUGAACCUGGGACAAAAUAUUAUUACAAGUGUGGAGAUAGCUCUAUCCCAGCCAUGAGUGAAGAGCAUGUCUUUGAAACUUCACCACCAUCUGGCCCAAAUUCAUAUCCUCGUCGAAUAGCUGUUGUUGGAGAUCUUGGCCUUACAAGUAAUUCAUCUACAACCAUGGAUCAUGUGGUCAUGAAUGACCCUUCAUUGAUUUUAAUGGUUGGAGACUUAACUUAUGCAAAUCAAUACCGUACAAUUGGUGGGAAAGGAGUUCCAUGCUUCUCUUGCGCAUUCCCUGAUGCACCCAUCAGAGAGACAUAUCAACCCCGCUGGGAUGGCUGGGGAAGGUUCAUGGAGCCACUGAUAUCAAGAGUUCCUAUGAUGGUCAUUGAAGGGAACCAUGAGAUUGAACCUCAAGUUGCUGGGGUAACUUUCAAAUCUUACUUGACUAGAUUUUCAGUUCCAGCAGAGGAGUCUGGGUCUAAAAGUAACUUCUACUACUCUUUCGAUGCUGGUGGCAUACAUUUUAUCAUGCUGGGAGCAUAUGUUGACUAUAACAGUACUGGUUCUCAGUAUGCUUGGUUAAAGGAAGACCUGCAUGGAGUGGACCGGACUAGGACCCCUUGGUUAGUAGCUGCAUGGCAUCCACCUUGGUAUAAUAGCUAUUCUUCACACUAUCAGGAAUUUGAGUGCAUGAGGCAGGAAAUGGAAGCACUUCUCUAUCAAUACCGUGUUGAUAUUGUUUUUUCUGGUCAUGUGCAUGCUUAUGAGCGAAUGAAUAGAGUAUAUAAUUAUACAUUGGACCACUGUGGCCCUGUUUACAUAACAGUUGGAGAUGGUGGAAACAUUGAGAAAGUUGAUGUUGAUCAUGCUGAUGACAUUGGGAAAUGUCCUUCAGCUGGAGAUAACAUACCAGAGUUUGGGGGCACAUGCCACAUCAAUUUUUCUUCUGGCCCUGCUAAGGGAAAGUUUUGCUGGGACAUACAACCAGAAUGGAGCGCAUUCAGAGAAAGCAGCUUCGGACAUGGAAUACUUGAGGUAUUUGGGGAGGAGGGAAGGGGAAUCGAAUACUGGGGGAGUUCCCAAACAUACCUUGAUAACCCAUCCAAUGGGUGGUAGGCAUCAUUUUAUCAACUUCGGAUUUUGGUUUUGAAUUCAACUUAUGCUUUAUGGACUUGGCACAGAAAUCAGGAUAUCUACAAGAACAAUACUCGUGGUGAUGAAAUAUACGUUGUCCGACAGCCUGAGCUGUGCCUUCCCUCAACUUCUUCCAAAGGUAGCAUUAACGAGACUCAAAUGGGAGGCAACAGAAAUGAAGCAUCUGCCAUGUUUACGAGGAUGUGGAUUCCAGCAUUAACAGUCUUGGUGGCCAUUGUUGUUGCCUGAACAAAAUCAUACUGGUUUAAAACUUUGUACAAUCAAUUACUUUCAAUAUCACCAUAAACACUAUGUUUAAGUUUUAAUAAUGCCAAUCAUUACUUCUUAUUAUUGGCUUUCCAAA